rnacentral:lncRNA from 1 species
UGCUGACCUCCUGCCGGCCACUGACCGUCUGCUGCAAUGUUACCAGCUGCCUCUGAAUGCCCCCGGGUAGGUCUAUGACGAUGGGGGGGUUCGUUGCCGCAAUGUCCUACAAAAAUAAACCCUGACAUUAGUGAAGACUACGAGCCCACCAUUUGCCAAGCAAGGGAAGAUACACUUGCUAGAGCAUGCCUGUAGCAGGAAGUAGACCUGCUGCCACAUGGGAUCCUUUUGUAAGCACAGGACUAGCACAGGCACGUGUUCACAAGCUCCAACGAGUCCUGGACUGCACACCGGGCUGAGAACUCCAGGAACUGCAAGUGGUAAGGCACUGACAAGCGAGCAUUGCGCCCUGUGACCUUCUCAACUUCUGCAACUGCUGGCCUGAGUGUCUUAAGAAAGGGAAACAGACGGACAGCACCUCCUCAGGUAUCUGAACCAUAAACCGGGGUGCCCAGUGUGCUGUGACCGGAGUGUUGGAAGCGGUGCAAGGAAAGCCCACAAGUGUAAGCAAACCGUCUGUUGGCUGGCUCACAAGGUAUGACGAGACAGCUGGCUCCCUAUUCCAGCGACCAAUAUUCUUGAUACUGUCAAGUGAGAUCCUGAACAGAAAAAGAUAACAUUAGACCAAGAAUGUGCAAAUCAUAACCAGCAGCGGCCAACAUACCCAUAGGCAUCAAGGAUCCGGGCAGGUGCAACCCGCAUUGCAUGAAGCUUCUUAGUCGUCCACAGCCCGAUGGCACUGAACAGGGUGGUGACCCAUUGCAAGACAGACUCACAUGGUACAGUGUUCUGACGGUCGCCAGGCAUGCAGAGCAGCGGUGUCUCAUAUCUGCAAAGAUUUAAAUGCUUAUUUAAGCCCCAGGGAGUCCACAUGCGUUACAUAUAGGGUAGCCCCUAGGUUUAGAAACGGAAGUCUUCUCAUCUCAAUCUAUUGAGAUCUCAUUAGAUCUCAAUAGAAUGGGUUAGAUUCUCAUGUCAAGUUUUGGCAGCUUUCUGGGAAAUGCAUGACUGGCUCUGAAACUUUGUAGGAUGAUUCUGUAUGGUAUAUUUGUUAUAAUAAUUAAGUUUGGGGACGUUGCGAAGCACAAUUGCACGACAGAAACAAGCCAUUAUACUCCGCCGCAGUAUUGACCCAUGGGUCAAAGCAUGCGAGGGCGCACUGGACGGUCGAGUACACGUCACAGGCGCUUAUCCCUUUGAUGCUUCUUUAACUCCAUAUCCUAAGGGUUAAGGUUUCAACGAAUCAGGGCCCACUCGGUGACUCUCUCGGUUUCUUAUCUUCGGACUCCUGGCUCUGCCCCUGGUUUGGGGCAGUGCUAGUGUCUGCCAUUUUCGGUAUUCAAUUUUGUUCUGAGUUUCUAGUAAGGAAAUAUAUGGCUUCUAAAGAUUUAUAAAGAAUUAUAGUGCCGUACAUUAGAUAACGACCCAACCGUCUCCUCAAGUGCCAAAAAAGACCUUCUAAAUUCUCAUUGAGAUUCUCAAGAGAAAUAAUUAGAUUAGAAAAACGACUUUAGAUGAGUGCCAACCCUAGUUACAUACCAUUCCUACUUACCAGUCCUCCUCGUUUAGCGGGUCAGGAUACUUCCCAGGCCACCCAGGGUGUACAUGACUGACCUCCUGAUGCCCCUCGUAUACCAGCUGGGGCCCCAGCUGCACACCCACGUUCCAACCUGUCAGCAAAUUCCCAGGACAGCCUCAAUACCUUAGGCCAGACCCUUGCCUUUCUGUUGUACAAUGUGCCAGCAAUCAGGCUUGGUGCUGUCGGGAGGUUAGGUAACGUUGGGCUGACAGCUGGAUGGCAAGAAAUCCGGGGUAACGUGCUGGGGGGUGCGGGUUCCGUGGUGGAUAUACAGACCAGGUGGUGGAUGUGCGGAUCAAGAUCGUUGAACCUCCUGUCAGUUGACAGACUUUAUGGCAAGAUUAAUCACACCAUCUCGACUACUGCAACCCCAACGUCGACAACUAUGCAAAAGUUCCUGAUUCCUCAGCUCUAGCUGUCAUCGUCGCACGCUGUACCAGUUCGCACCGUUGGUGCUGCAGCUGCCCACAACAGACGUCCAUGCCCCGUCGGCGCUGAAGCCACCCGCACCAGACCUGCAUGCCUCGUCGGCACGAGAGCCGCAGACAGAACUUCAUCGAACUUCAUUGUUCCUUGAGGUCUUGGGUGUUACGGACUGUGAGGGUGUUGCACUUCCAACUUCUAUUUAUCGGAAACGGAAAAUAUUACUUUGCUCAUUUCAUUUUUCACUUGCGUGUACAUGUGUGUGUGGCUUAAUGUGUCUCAAAGCAACCCAAUACACGCAAAGGUCGCAGCAAGUCGGCCUGACAGCUCCAAACGCUGGCAAUGUUCAUACUUCAGCAUUAAUUUGAUUGAGGGCGUCGAGCAGCACCUUUUCGUUCCGAAAUCUGCGGCUCCGGUUCCGGUCCAGUGGCCGGUCGCAAAGGCUGUCGUACCCGGUCCGGCUGGCGGGGCUAACCAGAUUUCAUCAGUUCUCAUCCGCUCAUUUAAAAUAUCUGCGGGCUGGGCGCUACUUGCAUCGACACUUAACAGCAGCCUUCCUGACCAAACCGUUACCUAGCACCAAAGUAACCCAUCCGACUUGCAGCUUCGUUUCUGCCUUCCACACGUAUUGCCUGCCUCUCCGCCAGUUUGCAUGACCGCUUGCCCUGCCACUUCCCAAGUGGCAACCUCUCCAUCCUUGCAAGGGAACAAACCCAAUUUUCACAAAUGGACACAAUGGGCACUAUGCCACCACAUUUCAAGUCGUCGCCGAUCGGCAGCACAGCCGCUGAUCCGCCCGCAAUGCCCAAGGCGCCAAAUACGGAUAACAUCUCCCACCAGUCGGGGUACGCCAUCGCAGCUAAACAUCCAGUCAUAACCAAACUCUGGGAACACACAAAUCAGGCUCGACCAGAUGCACGAUGACAUUCAUACCUCCUCCUCAAGGGGCCCCUCUCCACAAGGAUGACCUCGCAUGAAGGCAUUAAUUGCCCCAUAUGUUCUUCCUACAUACCCCGUCGUGCACUCCCUCCUCCUGACCUUGCCGCCUCCACAACAAAGGUCGUCCGUGCAUCCACGGACCCCCACGCCAGGAAAGUACUUCACGGCGAGUAUGGAGCGCAGCCAACCAACCGACCCAGCCACCAAACGUGACCGUACAUGGCGACUGAACUUGUUGGGCUCCAGAGGCUGCGCCACCAAGCUCUCAUCUCUCCCACACACACGUACAGCCCUUACAGGAAAGAUCUCAGCUCUUCCUCUAUCUGAUAUUCUCGGGGAGGUCAUGGACACGGAAAAUGGCGUUACGCCCCCGGCGGUGGCCUCCAUGUUUCGGCUGAGGACCCGCUAGGCCCCGCGUCCGGCUCUGGGCCCUUGGCAGUUGCCGUACCUACGGCAGUCGUACGGACGCAACCGGGACGCCGCCCAAACAGUACAGAGACGUCAAUGGCGGGGGAAGAUGGGGUGGGGCCCUGAAAGGGGAAAACGCAAUAUAAUACCCACUCCAAAAUGACCCACUCCAUUCGCCGGUAGGCUUUGCCUUCCGUGCGUCCCCUGCCAUUGCAAGCUGCCCCCGGCCAAACACACAUAUACACAUGCAGUCCUGCAAAGACUUGCAGUACAUGUCCCCCACUCACCUUGGGGUCCCCCCGCUCCUUCACCCCCGCCCCCGGGUGCCGGCCCCCGCCCCGCCGGCACCGGCCCGCCAGCCCUCAUCUGCUCCAGGAACCUCGCCAUAUCCGGCUGCGGCCCCGCGUGCUGGUCCUGGAGGGGCCCGGAGAGGGGUCGAAUCCGGGGGGGAGUGGGGCCCGGGCGGGGUGGGAGGACUGGGGGGGAGAGAGAAGGAAGUUUUAAAAACUUACAUCGACGUCGUGAGCAUAAAAUUAGGUUUUGUGUCAGUUGGAUAUAUCCACCCUGUCCAGCAACUGUCCCGCCAAGCAGCCAAGGCGAUGGUCAGGUGACAAGCCCCAGGAUUGGGAAGUUGGAGGAGGGAGAGGCCAUGCGCGUGGCCGUACGCGCGCCCUUGCCCGUGCGUGUGAGUGUGCCACUGGCCCCUGUCAAAUACCCAACCAACAACUAACAACCACCUCCAACCUAGCGGAUCGGUUCGAUAGUACCCAGCCAACUUUCCAGGGCACAGCUUACCCCGUCCUCGCACAGCCAGCCUCUUUAUAACUACUUUACCCAGGCCCCCCUCCCCCCCCUUCCGCCCCCCCUCCCCCCUCUCCCCCCUCCCGACUCUUACAGGUGUCCCCACAGUUUGCUGUCUCAGUCGCCGCAGCCUCUCCGCCUCCUCUAAUGCCGCCACUCGCGACCUGAGGACCGCCUGCUUGGCCGCAUGCCUGCCAACAACACAGAGACAUGCACACAUACAUACACACACAUAGGCCGGGGUGGAGCCGGUGGACGCAACGCAGGA